AAGAAGGACAUAGCUUAAGAUAUAAAGCGCAGUGCAGCCACCCCGACUUCCGUCCUAUCCUAAUAAGAGACCUGGAGAACAGAUUGAAGUACAAGGACGACAACAACAGGGAAGCACAACAAAAACACCACCAUAGGAAUCGUUGAGGUCCGCCACUGAACCAGACCCUCAGAAGUCAGAAAUGUUCAAAGGAUAUUAUUGGUGUUGGUCCUGAGUGUGACGUGAAUCUUGAAGAAGGGUCUUAUCAUGAAUUUGAGGACAAGGCUUUCACUAGGCGCUUCCAAGCCUUGAUUGCUGUUUUUUUUUUGUGGUUGUCUUCUCUGUGU